UAGGAUAUGGGAAAAUUAAAAAAUACCUAUAACGAUAGAUCAUCCAAUUUUACGACUCAGUUAUGGUGCCCAAAUGUUACCAUCCUCCAAAUAUCUCAAUAGAACAGCAAAUACAUCAAACAUGCUUAUUACCAUUUUACAAGGCCAAAAAUAAAAUUUCUAGGCCUUCAAUACCCCCUUGUAGUGCCUUCUCCAGAACCAUUACGAAACUUCCAAUACCUUGUCAGCAACCAUCACCAAUGAUUCACAUACGAACAUUCUUCUAAAUCCUAACACAACAUAAACAAACAAAAUACAAACAUGUUUAACCAUUGUAAACAUAAUAACUAACUUAUAUAACAAUAAAAAUUUACGCUAUAUAACUACAGCCUCCACAUCUGUUUCAAUCUAUGAUUCCUCGUCCACAAUCUUCACUUCUAUUGUACAGGUAGAUGCCACAUGUAUUAAAUAAAUACUAAUGAGACCACAAAUAAGUAUGUAGUACUUGCGUUUAACAAACGAUGAUAUUUAUAUUCCAAUGUAAACCAUAUACCUCCACAACAAGCACAUAUCCAUUAUUCAACUUUCACUACACAUCAUAGCCUCAACAUGCCUUGAUAAAUACACUACUUAUUGGACUCAAUGAAUUUAAAUAAUGUUGGUAUCAAUAACACCUCCACUAAUCAAUACAUAAACCAUAACCCAGUUUACUAUCUUUUACUAACCAAAGCUCCACUGCAAUAGUCCGCGUGUAUAUACCUAUAAACAAAUGAAUGUCCACCAUCAAUUUCUGUUUCUUCAUCGAUUAUAAAGGUAUCCUACAGAAAAUUCGAACAAUUCACUUUUCUAACUUUUCCAUGCAAUCUCUUUCAAACCAAUCCUCUAUCUAACCAUAAGUUUAAAUUUAUGCAAGUCUUUUCAUCUUAAAGCUGAUAAAUGUAUUAUGCGUGGCAAACAAAGAAAAAUAAAUUAUACAUAUACUUAAAGUGAAUGACCAACCAAAGCACACGCCUCACUAAGAAAGUGGUUACAGAUCGAACCACCAAUAUUAUGCCAUUUUUUCCAUUUGUUCUUCGGUGACUCUGAAUCCAAACUGUAUGUAUGUAACUAACCAUUAUUUUUAUGCACCCACUGUCGAUAUUUACUAAUAUACAAGAAAAAAAAAGACAUCUAAACAAAGUAUGAGCCACCGAAAAUGAAAAGCAGCCAUUGAAACUAUGUUUAUUUCCUUUCAUGUUAACCCAUAAAUAAGGUUUAACAUGUCUAUGAUUACCCCACUGCUCAAACCCCUUUACUAUAUUUAUUUCAACCUUAGCAAACCCAGCCAUUCACCUCUUCGCAACCUACGCAUUUCGAGCACCCCAUCUUCGAAAUCCACUACAAAAUCGCAUUCACAAACAUGAAGCCUACCUAUGCAUACCAAACGACUCUUCCAGUGCCUGCAAAAAUGCCAGAUUUAUAAUACCAACAAGGCCAACUUCAAUAAUACAGACAUCAAUAGAAUAUCAUAUCAGAAAUCGGCAACAACAUUUUUCUUAAAUGCGUCGCGGCAAAAUCAAAAUCACGACCACCAAAAUACACAAAUUCAUUUACAAUUUAAGGAAAGAAUCUUUACCCUUCCUUGCCUAACGAAAUUUUGGGUAAUUCCCCUCUCUCGCAAAUGUCAGAUUUGAGAUUCAAAUUUGUUUCACAUCCUAUUCUCAUAUUUUUGUUUCCAUGGACUUCAAGACCUUCAUUAGACAACCGGUUUAAACGGUUGUUGUUAGUACCUGCGUCCGCUCUCCAAAUUUUUUAUUUAAAUCGUUGGAUUGAACAAAGUUAUAUCCAACGGCUUCACAGAAUAAAGACAAACCAUAGUGGCACGGUGCCACUGUGGCACCGCAGGGAAGUCCCAAACACAAAUUAAUGAAUUUCUCUUCUAAAUU
rnacentral:lncRNA from 1 species